rnacentral:tRNA from 1 species
GAGGGUGUAGCUCAAGUGGUAGAGCACAUGCCUAACAUACCCAAGGUCCUGGGUUCGAUCCCCAGCACCUCCC